rnacentral:rRNA from 1 species
UACGUAGGGUGCGAGCGUUAAUCGGAAUUACUGGGCGUAAAGCGUGCGCAGGCGGUUUUGUAAGCCAGAUGUGAAAGCCCCGGGCUUAACCUGGGAAUGGCAUUUGGGACUGCAAGGCUUGAGUGCGGCAGAGGAGACUGGAAUUCAUGGUGUAGCAGUGAAAUGCGUAGAGAUCAUGAGGAAGACCAGUGGCGAAGGCGGGUCUCUGGACAGUUCCUGACACUGAGACACGAAGGCCAGGGGAGCAAACGGG